rnacentral:rRNA from 1 species
UACGAAGGGGGCUAGCGUUGCUCGGAAUCACUGGGCGUAAAGCGCACGUAGGCGGCUUUCUAAGUCAGGGGUGAAAUCCUGGAGCUCAACUCCAGAACUGCCCUUGAUACUGGAGAGCUUGAGUCCGGGAGAGGUGAGUGGAACUCCGAGUGUAGAGGUGAAAUUCGUAGAUAUUCGGAAGAACACCAGUGGCGAAGGCGGCUCACUGGCCCGGUACUGACGCUGAGGUGCGAAAGCGUGGGGAGCAAACAGG